rnacentral:rRNA from 1 species
CGCGGCCUAUCAGCUUGUUGGUGAGGUAAUGGCUCACCAAGGCGACGACGGGUAGCCGGCCUGAGAGGGCGACCGGCCACACUGGGACUGAGACACGGCCCAGACUCCUACGGGAGGCAGCAGUGGGGAAUAUUGCACAAUGGGCGCAAGCCUGAUGCAGCGACGCCGCGUGGGGGAUGAAGGCCUUCGGGUUGUAAACCCCUUUCAGCAGGGAAGAAGCGAAAGUGACGGUACCUGCAGAAGAAGCGCCGGCUAACUACGUGCCAGCAGCCGCGGUAAUACGUAGGGCGCAAGCGUUGUCCGGAAUUAUUGGGCGUAAAGAGCUCGUAGGCGGUUUGUCGCGUCUGCUGUGAAAAUCCAAGGCUCAACCUUGGACUUGCAGUGGGUACGGGCAGACUAGAGUGUGGUAGGGGAGACUGGAAUUCCUGGUGUAGCGGUGGAAUGCGCAGAUAUCAGGAGGAACACCAAUGGCGAAGGCAGGUCUCUGGGCCACAACUGACGCUGAGGAGCGAAAGCAUGGGGAGCAAACAGGAUUAGAUACCCUGGUAGUCCAUGCCGUAAACGGUGGGCACUAGAUGUGGGGCUCUUUCCAUGAGUUCCGCGUCGCAGCUAACGCAUUAAGUGCCCCGCCUGGGGAGUACGG